UUUACUGUAUAAUAUAGGUAGUAAUUAAUUGCCCAGAAACGCCAUGAUGCUUGAAUCUUUCUUUAUCAUACCUCACUGGUCACUGUCUCCGUUACUAUUAUACGUCAUUUUCAAGCGCCAGUACGCCUCUACAAUCUUUGUUUCCUAGGCAAUUGAUUUUUAUUUUGGGCGUUAGAGAAAAUCAUCUAAAGCUCAACGUGGUGGUUACUGACAUGGAUAAUCUAUUCAUGUCAACACAGCAGGUUUAAUGGUGCACACUGGCUGCUGCACAAGCUUAUGCUGCAUUCCUGACACCUCGGAAGUCAGAUUUGUCCUAGUUGGAUUCUCCCAAUUUCAUUCCAGACGAACUUGGAAGUUGGGACAUUGGAACGCCACUUGAAAUCGGAGAUCCCACUUCUAAACUCGGGGUAAGUCAAUCUACCCCAACUUCAAAGUUGGAACUGAAGUCCGACCUCUGACAUCCGAGUUGUAUGGAAUGCAGCAUUACAAGUAGGCUGGAAAGCCUUGCUUUUCAAGGCUUCAACAUUUCUUUCGUGAGCUUAUAAACUAUCUUUGUUACAGCCGUCAUUUUCUCACAUGCCAAUUUGCAAUAACAAUCAGAUACGAAUUUUAACAAUGUCAACACAAUAGUCUCUUUAAAUGUGUGCACCAAUAGAGCUUUUAUGAUUCACAAUCUUUAGUCCUAUUCAAAUUCCAGUCAAAUAGGAGUUGAACAGCAUGGCAUCUAAAACUGCACUGGAACAGUUUCAUAAUGAAAUCAAAAGUGCAAAGGAGCAUGCAAAUUAUAUAAGAUUAGAUUAAAUUCAUCUUUAUCGUCAUUGUGCAGAGUACAAGUACAGAGACAACGAAAUGCCGUUUGCGUCUAACCAGAAGUGGGAAAAAGUAGAAAUCUUGUGAAUCAUUAAAGGAAUGAUACAACCAUUGGAUGAAUGUUGAACCGAGAAACAGACAAACUCAUCAUCAGUUGUAUGAAGACCAUGAAGGCUUCAGUAAUGGCUAUUCCCUUACUUCUUGCGCUGGCAGGUACGUUGCUCUCAUUCAUGGCAGAGGAGUCAUUUUCUGAAGUAACGUAUUUGACUGGAGCAUUUAUGUUUGGCUCUUAUCACAUCAACUAGAUGGGUAGCCUACUGCAUAGAUAGAUAGAUAGAUAGAUAGAUAGAUAGAUACUUUAUUGAUCCCCAAGGGGAAAUUCAAGAUGGUGGGAAGAGGAGUUCAAUGCAAUGUAUGUUUUGCGACAUGCCUUAAAUGUCAAAGUAGAAGCAAAAAUGUGUUGCUAAACCUGUUUUAGAUUAGAUUAGAUUAGAUUCAACUUUAUUGUCAUUGUGCAGAGUACAAGUACACAGACAACGAAACAUUAAUCAGUUAUUCCUACGGGUUUCCUAUGGGUUACUGUAAACCUAGGCAUGUUGAAAAAUCAAGAUGACCAUCUUGUCGGACAAUCUGAAGUAAACUGUACCUGUAAUUUUAAGGAUAGGCUAUGAGAGUGAGCACACACACUCAUUCACUCACACACAGACAAGGCAGACCAACAGAACGAACCAAUUGAGAUGCAUUUCGCCCCCUGGUGGAAGGUGAGGGUAGGGUAAUUAAAUUGUAAAUGCAUGAACCACAGAAGUGCUUCUGUGUGUCUAGAUUCCCUUUUUAGAGAUACACUACCCUCUCCAAAUUUCCAUGUGGAACAUAUAUGAGGACAUAAAACAAUAUUUAUUUCAUUAAAUAAAUAAUAUUAGACAUACAAUGUUUUUUUUUUUAUUUCAGAUCAACAUCAAUGAACCAAAAUAACAUUAUAUAAUUCAAAUAUUCAAAUGAAUUGGGCUUUUUAGAUGACAGGAAAAGUGUCAGUUAUAUUAUAUUCAUACAUAACUAAUUAAAUUGAGUUCACAGGUCCUUUGUGGUUGAUUAUAGAAAGUUAUUAAUUCAAAAUUCGACACAAAUGUCUAAAUCAUGCUAAUGUUGUAGUUGUACUAACUCAAAUAUAUUUAUAUGUGUAUACCAUGCCCUGUAUGAAGAAAUAACUCUUGACACGAGUAGGUUGUGCUCUGGGGUCCUACCUGAAGAGAGGAAUCGGAUGGGAUUGCCAAGACCAACAAGGCUUGCAUCGUGGUUCUGACAACCCCCAGGGACGACAAAGGACACUGUGGGGGCUCUCUGCUCAGCUCUGAGUGGAUCAUCACGGCUCGUCACUGUGAUAAGAUAAACCUGGAGGCCAUAGUUGGAAAGCACCCCACUGGGGAAGGCCUUACUAUAAGUAUUCAAGAUGGGGAUAAGUACAAGUUUAUAAACAAGAGUCAAGGCCUAGAACAUGAUCUUAUGUUGAUAUAAAUAGACAAUAAAGACACAAAUGACCUCAUCACAAUACCCUUGCCUAAAGAAAACUGUGCAACUCCACCUCUUUACACCACAGUUGACAUUGUUGGCUGGAUGACUGCAACUGUAGGCCGUUACACAGAGAAAAAAAAUAUCUACCAUGCAAACAAACUGCAGUGUGGAAAUUUGACUGUUGUUGAAUGCCAUUCCCCAAGUUGCCCAUAUCUUCAGGACUACCAAUAUCAGCAUCUUCUCUGUGCUAUAGGCACAAAUACAAAAUGUGAUAGCUGUCAUGGGGACUCCGGUUCUAGUCUGAUAAGUGGAGGAAAGCUUCAUGGAGUUCUGGUCAUGUCUGAUGAUUAUUUUUGUGGUGACACUGUUGACUUCAUGGACAUCUGCCACACCGAAUACAGAAAGUGGAUCUUCACCACCACUAGACUGUAGGCGCAGAAACCCAACACAUACUUUCCUACAACAGUAUGUGAUAAUAAAGAGAGGGCAGAUGUCCCUAAAAGUCCCC